rnacentral:rRNA from 1 species
GAUGAACGCUGGCGGCGUGCCUAAUACAUGCAAGUCGAGCGAACAGAUGAGGAGCUUGCUCCUCUGACGUUAGCGGCGGACGGGUGAGUAACACGUGGAUAACCUACCUAUAAGACUGGGAUAACUUCGGGAAACCGGAGCUAAUACCGGAUAAUAUAUUGAACCGCAUGGUUCAAUAGUGAAAGACGGUUUUGCUGUCACUUAUAGAUGGAUCCGCGCCGCAUUAGCUAGUUGGUAAGGUAACGGCUUACCAAGGCGACGAUGCGUAGCCGACCUGAGAGGGUGGUAGGCCACACUGGAACUGAGACACGGUCCAGACUCCUACGGGAGGCCGCAGUAGGGAAUCUUCCGCAAUGGGCGAAAGCCUGACGGAGCAACGCCGCGUGAGUGAUGAAGGUCUUCGGAUCGUAAAACUCUGUUAUUAGGGAAGAACAAAUGUGUAAGUAACUAUGCACGUCUUGACGGUACCUAAUCAGAAAGCCACGGCUAACUACGUG